UUUAUGGAGAGUUUGAUCCUGGCUCAGGAUGAACGCUGGCGGCGUGCCUAAUACAUGCAAGUCGAGCGAACGGACGAGAAGCUUGCUUCUCUGAUGUUAGCGGCGGACGGGUGAGUAACACGUGGAUAACCUACCUAUAAGACUGGGAUAACUUCGGGAAACCGGAGCUAAUACCGGGUAAUAUUUUGAACCGCAUGGUUCAAAAGUGAAAGACGGUCUUGCUGUCACUUAUAGAUGGAUCCGCGCUGCAUUAGCUAGUUGGUAAGGUAACGGCUUACCAAGGCAACGAUGCAUAGCCGACCUGAGAGGGUGAUCGGCCACACUGGAACUGAGACACGGUCCAGACU
rnacentral:rRNA from 1 species